AUCCUCGCUAGCGAGAGGAGCCUUCUCCCAGUUCGGCUGCCUCUUGUGUCUGACGUCAAUAGGGAGGCGAAAGAAGGACGACUUUAAAAAGGUGUUCCACAGCGGUCAUUACGGUGAGCCAAGCAGGACACAAAUCUUCAUAAUGCCUCCAGCUAGACUGAGUGGGGACACGACGGAAGGACCUCAUAUUUCUCCAGUCAUUUCUAAGGAAUAGUGUGCGAUUCAGCGGUGCGGGAGAUGUCUCGGACACAAGCAGCCAGCUUUGAUCUCGCAUGACAGAGUCCAGCUGGACAGCGGAGAGGCCAUCCAAAAGCACAAAGAAGAGCAGUUUGAACUGGUCGCAACGGCUGCAGCAGGAUGCUGGACCCCAAUUCACAAGCGCAUGCUCGAUCCAGGAGAAGUACGUCACCGAAGGGCAGGGAAAAUAAAGAUGCAGGAGGUUUUUUUUCCCCUUUUUUUUUUUUCAAAGAAUGCAUUCAUUUAAAUCGUUUCAUGAGGGGUGUUUGCAAUGCGUCAUUAAACGUAGGCUAAUGUGUUUGGCCUUGCUGAUUCA